rnacentral:rRNA from 1 species
AGUCGAACGGCAGCACGGACUUCGGUCUGGUGGGCGAGGGCGAACGGGUGAGUAAUGUAUCGGAACGUGCCUAGUAGCGGGGGAUAACUACGUAGUCAAUACCGCAUACGCCCUUCGGGAAAGCGGGGACCUUCGCCUCGCACUAGAGCGUCAGAUAUCGGAUUAGCUAGUUGGUGGUAACGGCUCACCAAGGGGCGACGAUCCGUGGCUGGUUUGAGAGGACUGACCAGCCACAAGGACUGGAGACACGGCCCAGACUCCUACGGAGGCAGCAGUGGGAAUUUUUGACAAUGGGGAAACCCCGAUCCAAGUCAUCCCGCGUGUGCGCGAGGCGAAGGCCUCGGGUUGUAAAAAGCACUUUUGGCAGGAAGAACGCACGGGAUAAUACCCCGUGCAACUGACGGUACCUGCAGAAUAAGCACCGGCUAACUACGUGCCAGCAGCCGUAAUACGUGGUAGGGUGCAAGCGUUAAUCGGAAUUACUGGGCGGUAAAGCGUGCGCAGGCGGUUCGGAAAGAAAGAUGGGAAACUCAGAGCUUAACUUUGGAACUGCAUUUAACUACCGAGCUAGAGUGUGUCAGAGGGAGGUGGAAUUCCCAAGUGUAGCAGUGAAAUGCGUAGAUAAGGUGAGUGAACACCGAUAGCGAAGGCAGCCUCCUGAUAACACUGACGCUCAUGCACGAAAGCGUGGGGAGCAAACAGGAUUAGAUAAUUGGUAGUCCACGCCCUAAACGAUGCUCAACUAGCUGUUGGGGCCUUCGGGCCUGGUAGCAGCUAACGCGUGAAGUUGACCGCCUGGGGAGUACGGUCGCAAGAUUAAAACUCAAAGGAAUUGACGGGACCCGCACAAGCGGUGGAUGAUGUGGAUUAAUUCGAUGCAACGCGAAAACCUUACCUACCCUUGACAUGUUCAAAUCCCGAAGAGAUUUGGGAGUGCUCGCAGAACCGGAACACAGGUGCUGCAUGGCUGUCGUCAGCUCGUGUCGUGAGAUGUUGGGUUAAGUCCCGCAACGAGCGCAACCCUUGUCAUUAGUUGCUACGAAAGGGCACCGACGAGACUGCCGGUGACAAACGGAGGAAGGUGGGAUGAUGUCAAGUCUCAAGGGUUCUUAUGGGUAGGGCUUCACACGUCAUACAAUGGUCGGACAGAGGGUCGCCAACCCGCGAGGGGGAGCCAAUCCCAGAAACCCGAUCGUAGUCCGGAUCGCCCGCACCGACUGCGUGAAGUCGGAAUCGCUAGUAAUCGCGGAUCAGCAUGUCGCGGUGAAUACGUUCCCGGGUCUUGCACGACACCGCCCGUCACACCAUGUGGAGGUUUUACCGAAGUGGAAGUUAGCCUUAACCGGGCAAGUGAGUGGCGAUUACCACGUAGACCACGAUUGGGGUGAAGUCGUAACAAGUAAC